rnacentral:rRNA from 1 species
UCCUACGGGAGGCAGCAGUGAGGAAUAUUGGACAAUGGGCGCAAGCCUGAUCCAGCCAUGCCGCGUGCAGGAUGACGGUCCUAUGGAUUGUAAACUGCUUUUAUACGAGAAGAAACACCUCUACGUGUAGAGACUGACGGUAUCGUAAGAAUAAGAUC